GCCCCUGGCGUGGGGUGUCGAGGCGCCGUGUUGGCGGCUAUGAAAACGCCCCCUCCGAGGGGCAGAUA
rnacentral:snoRNA from 21 species